ACAACUAUGGCUUGUCUGAGUCCUGAGCCAGCAGAGCUCAGGCCACAGCACCUGCACCCGUUUUCUGCUGCUGCACACAAGGGCUCUGUGCAUUCCGCAUCCAGGUGUGCCCCUCCCCUUCUGGAGGAUUCUUUUUCAGGCUGUCCCAGAGACUUUGCAGCACAGCAUCCUUGCUCUAUUUCUUCCUGCAACGUCUCUGCUGAAGCUCUAUUGCUUUUGGCAACUCUUUCGUCUAUUUUGUGGUUUAGGUGUCUCCUACUUUUACUAAAAAUGGAAUUUGUGUUUUUAUCGCUCAAGUCCUUUUUGCUUUUGGAUUACUUCCAGAAAAUGAAGGGAGGGUUACUAACUUUAUGCCAUCUUCAAACCAGAAGAUCUUAGAUUAGUAAGAUCAUGUUGGCCAUGGCAUGGAGAAUGGGCUGGAGGUGGAGAGACUGGAGGUUGGAAGUCCAGUUAGGAGAUUGCUCCUGCGCUGGGGAGUUGGUGUUAGGACAGAAGAUCCAAGACACAUUUCAGAGAGCCCCUCUUCUUGGGCCUGCGAUUCCUCACCUGGAAGGGAGAAGAGUGGACUUCCUGCCUAGAGAACACCUUGGUAAACUCUUUGUGGUUCCUGUCAUGAGAAGGUGUGCAGCUUAGGGAAAAAGCCUGUGAGCUCUGGAAUCAGAUGGAACUGGAUAUGAAUUUCCAUUUAGCGCUUGUUGGAUUAAAUGUGAUGCUACUUCUCCCAGCCGAAAGAAUAAAACUGGUAAGAGGAAGGGAAAUGCAGCCUCAGUAAGGAGGCCUCCAUUCUGGAAGGGCUUCCCAGGCCCAGAGAAGGGAGAAAGUAAUUUGGAACCACCCAAGUAUUGGUGAUGCCAGGCCUCACCCUACCCUGGGGAUAUUUAAAUCUCAAAAAGGGAGCAUGGGAAUCUGACAAAGCACUUGCAUGUAUAAAGAACUCCUCCAAAUCAACAAGGCAAACACCUCAUUAGAUACAUAGGCAAAAACCUUAGAAGAGCCACAUCACAAAGGAGCACCUCCAAAUGGCCAAGAAGCAUAUGAAAAGAUGUUCAAUCUCAUUAGCUACCAGGGAAUUCAAAUUAGAACUACACCAGGAUGGCUGAAAGUGCAAAGACUGACAAUAUCAAGGGCUGGUGGGGAUGCAGAGCAACUGGAACUCUCCUAUGCACUGCGGAAGGGGUAAAUUAAUACCGCCCCUUUGGAAGAACAGUUUAGAAGCAUCACUAAAGCUGAACAUAUUCAUGCCUACUCCGGAAAUCCUGAGCCCAGGUAUAUAUCUAACAGAAGUUUGUUUAUAAAGGCACCAAAAGUCAAUUACACAAGAUACAAGAAUGUUCAUAGUAGAGCCGUUUGUAUUAGUCACAAACUGGAAACCACCCAAAUGCCCAUCAGUGUGGCUCCCUUUGAAGAACUGCCUUGGGGUUCAUGUUGCAGCAUCAAACAGGGAUGGAAGAUGCAUCUUGCUUUAGCAGCAGGAGCCUGGAAAGCAGCUGAAGCCCUGGAGGGUGCCUGGCACACAGAAUCUUGUGCUGAGCCUGGAGCACAAUGGGAGCGGGCUGGCAGGGUGGGUUCACAGCUGGACUGGGAGCAGCAGACAUACAGGCCGUAGGCACAGACAUAUAAAGACAGUCAUGCAGAUUGCAGGAUGCCUGAGAGCACAGACUCUCACAUGCACAAAUACGUGCGUGAUCGCCAGUGUGCAUCCAGACAGCCCCACAUGCAUGCACACGCAUGCACACAUGUGAUGUGUACAUAGAUGGACACAUGUCUAUGCCCACAAACACUGCAGAGACACACACAGAAGUGUCUGGCAAGGAACACUAUUUUGUCCUCAAUUUUCUGCCAGUGAGAGUCUACUGACUCCAUCUCUGAAAUGUCUCUACUUAUUGUCCCUCUUCUCCACCUGCGCCACAUCCCUAGUCCCUGAAACUCCCACCGAGACCCCUGGGCAAUAGCAAAGUCUGGACAGGAUUCCUGCUCCGCCUCUACCCCACCCUUAAGCCCAUCCUACAUGCAAGAGCAGGAGUUAUCUGGGUAUCAAGCGAAUCUGACCAGAUCACCUCCCCACUGCUUAAAACCCUUUCCUACAGGAUGAAGUUGAAAUCACUUGACAUCCCAUAUAAGGCCCUUGACUGUCUGGCAUCAGUCAUAGUCUGGCCUCAGGCCCUGGCAUGGAGUCCCCUGGACUCAGUGCUCCAGCUGAGGGCCUCCAGGAUGAAGAUGCCCUGUGCAAAGCCUCACACUUUUGCUGUUGCUGGGCUCACUGUGUGAAAUUCCCUCCUCCCUCCUUCCACCUUCCCUAUGCUGAACUGCCACUCCUCCAUCCUCCAUGGCCAGCUAAGCCAACACCUCCCCACUUCCUCCUGACAACCCAGGCACAGCCACUGACCUGUCCCAUGGCUGUCACAGCCCUUUCUUGGGCUCUCAAUGGUAUCAUUGUCACCUGUGUGCUCAUGAGCCUCCGCCACUCAACUCCAAGCACAUCAAAUAGAGAGCUCAAAACAU
rnacentral:lncRNA from 1 species